UCUCUUCUUUCAACAUUAUCAACCGCCUCUUUCUCUCUCUAUUCUUUUCCUUCACUGCUUCACACCGAAACCCUAGCCUCCGUGUUCCUUUGGCUUGAAGCUUCUACAUCUCAUUUUCUCUGAAAACAUACGCUUGUGCUUGAAUCGACUGAUAAGGGAGACACGCUUUGCCCUUUCCAAUUCCUGCUCUCAAACCCUACUGUCCGAAUACACAUCUUCCCCUUCACGUUUCCUGCCGAUCAAUCGAUUUAUCAAUCCUAUAAUAUACUAAUCUCAUCAAUGUAAGUUUCUCUCUAUUACUUGCUCUCUACACCCUCUUUGAUCGCUGCUUUGGUUUUCCCUGGUUGAAAGCCAUCAUCAAUUUGGCGUAGAUGGGUAUUCAAGAAAAUAAAGGCAUAAGUGGGAGUUUGGGUUCGUUUCUUACUCGCAGAUGCUUUGGUUGUCUUAUGAGGGGCUACUUAGAAGGUUUUGGUGUGUGCUGCCUCCUUUAGAAGAAGAGGAUGUUCCUCAACUAUACCCAAAAGGGUCAAAUCUUGGUGAGUGAGCUUGAGAAACAGUUGAAAAUGGAGAUAAAAUCAAGAAACAGAGCCAGAGCCAGAGUCUAAAAGAUCUGGUAAAAGACAUAAUUUCUCUUUAGAUGAUGGUAAUUUAGGGUCUUUUAAUGAGGAUAUUUUUUGAGUAGUCUAAUGAGAAUAAGAGUUAGAAAGAAAGAUGGAGCUGGAGAUCUUUUAAAAAAGAAGAUGACAAUGGCUAGAUUUUAUGUAUUUUGGUUCCAGCGGAAUGAAAUGGUCAAGACCGGGUUCUCCGGGUUCGGAGGAACCCGACUUUGUAGUGGGGCUACUUCAACUUCAAAGAUGAAACAAGGGUUACUAAAUAAAGUUCAAUAAGCAAUCCCAAACACCCCUCUAAAAGUAACUUAUUUAGUUAAUGCUUAAAAGUCAAAUGUGGUCAUGAUUUGUUCUUUUGAUGUUUUCUUUUCGUAUAUGCUCAGGCAUGAUUUUACUUUCAACAACUUAUAUCAUGAGUUAGUUACUGUCAUUCAAUGUUAUACAAUCUUUUUGUUCAGUUUACUAUUCUACUAUUUCUUUGUUCAUAACAGUAUCGCCUCUAGCUCUAUUCUGCACCGAUUAUUGUGUUGCAGGAAAUUUGUCACGGAUAUCUUAAGCUUGAAAAUACACUGUUGGAAGUGCAGCUCCUCGUGUUAAAAAUACUUAAAAUAUGUGAUUUUGGGUAUUCAAAGUCAUCAGUUAGGCGUUCCCAAUCAAAGUCAGCUGCAACUUACAUUGCACUUGAAGUUCUUUCAAGAAAAGAAUAUGAUGGAAAUGUGGCUCCUUUGAGCUUUUAGUUAUUUACUAGACAUGCAAUUUAAUGUUAUUUCUUAUUUGAAUUACCA